GACGAACGCUGGCGGCGUGCCUAAUAUAUGCAAGUAGAACGCUGAAGACUUUAGCUUGCUAAAGUUGGAAGAGUUGCGAACGGGUGAGUAACGCGUAGGUAACCUGCCUACUAGCGGGGGAUAACUAUUGGAAACGAUAGCUAAUACCGCAUAACAGCAUUUAACCCAUGUUAGAUGCUUGAAAGGAGCAAUUGCUUCACUAGUAGAUGGACCUGCGUUGUAUUAGCUAGUUGGUGAGGUAACGGCUCACGAAGGCGACGAUACAUAGCCGACCGGAGAGGGUGAUCGGCCGCACUGGGACUGAGACACGGCGCAGACGCCUGCGGUAGGGAGCACAAGGGAAUCGUCGGUAGUGGGGGCAACCCUAACCGAGCAACGCCGCGUGAGUGCAGAAGGUUUUCGGAUCGUGAAGCUCUGUUGUAAGAGAAGAACGUGUGUGAGAGUGGAAAGUUCACACAGUGACGGUAACUUACCAGAAAGGGACGGCUAACUACGUGCCAGCCGCCGCGGUAAUAC
rnacentral:rRNA from 1 species